rnacentral:lncRNA from 10 species
UGAGCAGGGCUCUGAAGAGACAGAUAAAAGGAGAGUCAGAUCCCUGGGUCUGCCUAUUUUCAUGGAGGCUUGGAGCACUGUACAUAUUUCUCCAGUUCCCAGAGGCCAUGACUAGGUCUCCUUCCCUGUUAAAUGGGCAAUACCUUACAUGAAAGUUUGGGAACCAAGGUCACAGAUCGUGAAAUGAAGUUAAACUAGGCUGCUAGAGUUGCCACCUUGGCUCUGUGCAAAGAUCAAAGGCUCUCUUUGGUGAGAAAAAGCCACCCUCAUUGUGCCUGCCAACAUUUUACAUCUGGAUCUACAUAUUAUCUGCUGAUUUUAUAAACUACUUCCUUCCCAGAAAUCCAAACUAGCCUUGUUUUAUAGAUGUGGAACUGCAGUCUCCUAGUUUCUGGAUGAGCUUACACUGGGCCCUUUGGGCUUCUGUCUUCCCACUAGGCCAUGCUAUGGAGAUUGCACAAUGGACCUAUUGCUUCAAAGGAGAGUCACACAACACUCCCCAGCCACUGUGUUGACAGCCCUGGGCUGGAGGAAAGGCAGCAGUCUUCACAGAGCUCACUUUACGGCUGGGCUCACCCUUCACCCCAAGACAGCUUUGAUCACUGGGAAGUUUCCACAAACACAGAAUGAAUGAGGAAGAAGGUGAUUAUAUUUUCGGUGUGAUCCACGUGGACGAGAGGUGUUGCAUGUUUUUACAAAUUGAAGAUCUGUGACAACCCUGGGUCAAGCAAGUCUAUCAGUGCCAUUCUUCCAACAGUGUAUAUGCUGGAGCAGCUGUACUUAAGUCCAGAAAUAAGAAGAUAUUUGAUCUGAGGACUCAGGAGAGAGCAUGGCUGCUGCAUAGAUGGUGCCUUCCAUCGCUUGACAUAGGGAAGCCCAGCCAAAGCCUGUGUCUUGGGCAGCCGGGGAGCUCUCAGGAUGGCUUGAAAUCUCCCACAUGGCCUGGGCCUGUUCUCCUUCCCCUCCAGCUCUCCUGGGUGCAGUCAAAGCUUCACUCCCUACACCCUACUGAACUAUCAGCUGACUGAUUCCCACUUGUCCAUGCCCCAGGACCCCACAGAAGCUCCACAUGCUUCCACAAGCUGAUGCACCAGUUCCAAGAGGAGGAAGAAAAGCUGGCACUCAGCCUUUAUUUCUCCCCAAACACCACAGUCAUUCAAUUCUGAAAAAAAAAAAAAAAAAAAAACCCAUUGCUUUGAAAAACAUAAAAUGAGAUCUAUCAAACAGCAUCUUGUAUUUUAAAGUGGAAAGAAUGGACUUUGGAAUCAUCUUUGGCAGCUAAUAGGCUGGGACACGCAGAGAAAGAGCUUGCCUGCCUCUGCAGACAUUCCUUGGACGAGUGGUUCUAAAUCCCAGCUACACACUCAAAUAGCUGCAGGAGGUUUAAAAACUGUCAAAUCUCCCAGCCCCUGCCCAGCCCAGUCAAUAUUUAUCUCAGGAGGAGGAGCCCUAAAACCAGUGUCUUUUCACAGAGCUCCCUACAUGACUUUGAUGUGUGGCCAGGUGAUAUCUCCUGAGUUCGGAGACACUGAUGCUAUCACUCACACCUAGUCAAAUGAGAGGAGUCGGGGAUGACAGAAGAAUGCAGGCAACUUACCUACCUGAAGCUGGGGCCUCAAGGUCACCAUGCCCUUGAGUGAGCCCUGUAUGGGUCUACCUUGUGUCUGAUGGUUCUCAGCAGGCACAGCUUCUCUUCAGGGCUUCUGCCGACAUCUUCCCUGCAUGUGGAAAAUGGCCUGGGGUCCCCUUAGACUCAGCUCAUGUCCUCCCCUUUGCUCAGGUUCCCUCUGAGUCCCGGUACCCGCCCAUGCUGCAGACCUCCUCAUGACUCCUUCCUCCCUGAGGCCUGGCCAUCUGCACACCCCCAUCCUAUCCUGUCAGCUUGUUUUUUGUCUCUUUGGUGACCAGACAUGAACCCCUCAAGGCUGUUCCCUCCACAUCCCCAGCGCUCAGUUUCAGGCCAGCCCAGGGCAGGAUGCACCUCGUGCAGACCAAGGGAAAGAGCCAGCAGCUGCUUCACAUGAGCCUGUCCUCUGCACCUGAAGAGAAUCUUUGGAAGGCCAGCGCCCCCACUUGUCCUGAAGGUGGAGGGGCUGUUCCCUCUAGCCCACACCUGUCAUUCUAGGACUAACUUUCACUUUUUGGAAGCCAGAGCCACUCCCGACCAUUCAGGGCCUUUCAGCAUUCGGAAGGGACAGUGACUCCUCCUUAGAUACCACAUGUAGGACAGGAGGGAAGUUCAAGAGUGGUGUCAAGGGCCAGAGACAGGGAAGCUGGGGGGUCUGAAAGAAGCUUCCAGGAGAUGUCUUCACUGCAAAAUACCAUACACCAAGGGGCUACAGGCUAAAACAAGACAUGUAUUUCUCACAGUUCUGGAGGUUGGGUGUUGGGGAUUAAGGUGCCAGCCAGCAUGGUGGGUCCCUGGUGAGGACUCUCUUCCUGGCUCACAGGUAGCCGACUUCUCACUGUGUCCUCACAUGUGGGAAAGAAAGCUCUGGUCUCUUCAUCCCCUCGUAAGGACUAAUCCCAUCAUGGAGGCACCACCUUCAUGACCCCAUCUAACCGUAAUUACCUUCUAAAGGCACCACCUCCCAUAAUAUCACCCUGGGGCUUGGGGCUUCAACAUAUGGAUUUGGGGGAACACAGACAUUCAGUCCAUAGCAAGGCACAUGGGGAAGUUGGAGCAUGAGAGCAGAGGAGACACCCACACAUCUCAGGAGAGCAGUCACGUGUUCGGAGGAUGUCAAGCCACGCUGAAGGCCCCUAGCCAUGCUGGGGAGAGCAUGCUCUAGCCAUGGAGUUGAAGAUGAGGUGGGAGUUGCCCUUGAGACCUUUCAUCUAGGACCUCCCAAGUUCCAUGAAGAGACAAGAGAAAACAGUAAGGGCACUGUAUUCAAGGGAAUGAGGGGUGAUGAGUCCCUCUUGGGUUCCUCAGUAAUGUCUUCCAGGACAGUCCAUUGAUUACACCUCUGCACCAGUCAGCGGACUUUUAGUGAGCCCUGGUAAUGUGCCAGAUGCUGUGCUGUGAGUGAGAUGUGCACAUUUCCUUCCUCGUGGAGCUCACACUCUCAUGGGGCAGACACACAAUCACACAAUCGCACACAUGUGCAGUGUGCAGAGCCUCCCUACAGGCUGGCCCGUGCCUUCCAGCUGCAUUCACCUGAUAGGAGGGCCAGCUGGAGACCAGAGGCUGGAGGCAGCCAGGGAGGAAUGUGGGCACUGGUUUUCUGACUCCCUGCCCGCUGCAUUCUCUGCAGCAGGCCCAGUUCCCGCCCAGCCCCCAUGCUGCACAAGGUUCUGAGAAUCACUCCUGCCCCCACUCCAUCAGGUCCCACUUAAGGUAGCUCCACUGGCUUAGAGGACCACCCCACCCCAGGGGCUUCACCUAAACCAGUCACACUUUGUAGACAGUCCCCUCAUUGAACUCUGAUCAAAUUACCCAAUUUAAAUAUACCAUCUGUUUCCCGCAGGGACUCUGACUGACCCAGUGACCUAGUCUAGGAGGUUAGGGAGUCUUCUGAGAAAAGGAUGCUUGAGCUGAACUCUGAAGGAUUAAAUUCUCACUGCUUUUAAUAGUAGGAUCCAACAUGUGUGUUUAGUCAGUAGUGGGGGUCCUGGUAAGCUUGAGCCUGCAGUGAGGGGUGCUGCAGGGGACACAGGCGAACCCAUGAAGCCCCUCACCCCACCUCUUAGCCAUGCCUGGCCAGGGAGGGCAUCCCUAGACCCAGGCUCAGCUAUAAGAAAGAGCAAGAACCAACAAACAUUUCUUAAGCACCACUCCGGGGCCAGGCCGUGUGCUGGGCCUGAACGCUUCUCAUAGGUGACGUGGAGACCUGGGGGUGGCUGCCAUCUGGUGCUCUGGGUUUUGAGGGGUGCUCUCUGAAAGACCAAGCUGAGCAGCAGGAGGCCCAGAAAUGGGGGCUCCCAUUAGACAUUGUGGCCAGUCUCACAGCACAGCCAGAAGGGCCAGCACUGCAGGGAGGGGAGCAGAGGGGAGGAUGUGCUCUUUGGCCAGGCGAAAGCCUGGUCCCCAGGACUGAGGUCCUAGAGAAUCAGGGAUGCAGGAGAAUGAUGAAGAGAGAGGUCUCAAGGCCAAAGACAAUAAGGUGAACUGUCAGAAAGUCUGGGAGAAAGAUGAUUUGAGGGUGACCCGAGAGGCUUGCUGUCAAAUGUCCCAAGAUCGGACAGUCGAGCAAGGCAGCAUGAUGGAAGGAAUCUAGCCCUGUCCAUCCACAUAAGCCCAAUUGCAAGUGCACUGUUGGAGUCAUGAAAAAUGUAAUGUCUAGUUCUGGUGUGAGCAGGGCCACUCUCUUCCAAAGAUACUCCCAUGGGAACAGAAAAAAAGGGUAGAAGCCCGAAGAGCCAUAAAAGGCAGCAAGGUCAGGAAGCCACCAGAAUGUCAGUGAGAUGUUUAAUUUUGAAAAUCAAUUAAUGUAAUGUGUCAUAUCAACAGAUCGAAGGGAGAAAGUCCAUGCUCAGGUUUAUAGAUGCAAAGAUCUGUUUGAUAAAAUUCAACAUCCACUCAUGACUUAAUAAAGAAACAAAACCUAUGGCAAAUCACAUGUAAAAGUGUUUAAGAUAUUCCCUUUAAUAUCAGAAAAGUGGCAAGAAUGCCUUCUUUUAUCUUUUCAAUGCUGUAAUGCAUUAAAGGGCUUAGGCAGUGCAAUAAGAAGAAAAAAGAAAUAAAAGAGAGAUUGGAAAGCAAUAAUCAAAGCUGUCAUUAUUUGAGGCAGAUAGAUAAUUGAAAGUACCUCUGAUUGGUUGCAGCAGACAAUCAGAUGUUUGCAUAGAGUAAGUUUGUAACUUCAGCCUCUGGUUGCUUUCCAAAACAAUUAGACUGAUUGCCGGCCACCACUUCAUUUACAUGGGGUGAACACCAAGUGGCCAAUGGGAAACCUCUAGGGGAUAUUUGGACCCCGGAAGAUACUGUAACCGAGGCCCUUGAGCUGCUGCUCUGGCCCACUCCCACCCUGUGGCAUGUACUUUCAUUUUCAAUAAAUUUCUACUUUUGCUGCUUCAGUCUUUCCUUGCUUUGCUGUGUGUUUUGUUCAAUUCUUUGUUCAAAACACCAAGAACCUAGACAACUUGCAGUCGAUACCCUCUACAGUUAACAAGCUGGGGAAUGCUCCUUCCAGGGUCCCAAGGUCCUUGCCUGGCUGAGCUUCUGGUGGCUGCCAGCAUUCCUCGGCUUGUGGCCGCAUCACUCCAUUCUCCAUCUCCAUGGUCACAUCACUUCUUUUCUGUCUGUUUUCAGCCUCCCUCUGCCUCUCUUAUAAAGACAUUUGUGAUGCAUUUAGGGCAUACCUGGUUACUACAGGAUAAUCCCCCUUAUCAAACUCCUUAACCUAAUCACAUCUGGAAUACAUUGUUUUUGCCUAGAAAUUCAUAUUCACAGGUUGCAGGGGUUAGGACCUUCUCAGGCACCAAAUGAUAAGAAAUCAUCUUUCUGAGUAACCCACAUGGAGUGGCCGCUGGGUCCUAGAGGCGCCGUUGGCCUGACAGCAGAACUCAGGGACUCUUAAUGCCCUUGCAAAAUGAAUGCAUUUGCAUGUGGGAAGGUCUCUUGGAGUCUGCCUUAGCUCCUCUCACACAAGGUAGCAGACCUGGCCACCUUCCUCACUUGGACAGAGAGCCCUGGGGAGCUCUCAAAAAGUAGCCAGGCCCUAGAUCAAUUCAGUCAGGACCAGUGGGGGUGGGGUCCCUGCACCAAUAGGUUGUUUAACCUUCCCAGGUGAUUCUGCUGUUCAGGCAGGGCUGGGAACCAUGAACCAGGUGGACAUUAAUGUCCCUUGCAGGUGAGACAUUUGACAAAUAAGCAGAAAUGGAGCCAGGGUCUCCACUCUGGCUCCACAUCAGCAUCCCCCAGGGUAGGGACAUUGAAAAGACAGGUUUCUGCUCCCUCCCCAAGGCAGGUGAUCUAAUUGGUCUGGGUGUGACCUGGACAUCAGGACCUUCAAAUUUUCCCAGUGAUUUCCACGUGCACCCAGGUUGAGAACGCUGCGGCCCAUAAAAGGGAGCCUUACACUGUCACUGCUAUUGCAAAGGACAAUUAUCAGACCUGGGGAGACCUUCCUGAUUCUGAGUUUCCAAACCACAGAACAGCUUGUUCAGGGAGACUGUGGAAGUCAUUUCUCUAGAAAUCUUGACUGAUUCAGGAGGUUUCUAGCUGUCAGAGGAUUUAGCUAUGGUUCUGCUGUAUGAAGGUGGAGGCAUGGAUUAGGUGAUUUUCAAAAUACCCUACAACUUCUUGAGUUUAUGAAAAGUGAUAUCAUGCCUCCCCUUGAUAGAUUCCUUCACCAUUUAGACAAAGAAUAUAAAAAGAAUUAAAAUAACCCAAUGAAUUCAGGAUUGUGGAAAAUGUCAUUACUGGUAAUGAAAAUUACAGGAAGUCUUGCUGGCGCUUGCUCCCUCCCCAAAACUAACAUGAGAACAUGUUUUUUCUUCUGAUGCAAUAAUUAAGUUUGCCCAAGAAAAUGUCUCUGUGCGCACCUCAGGGCAGGGGCUAAAUGAAGCCUUUAACUAAACGAUAAAUGUGAUCGUCUCCAUGGACUGAACCCUGCCAGGGCAGACUGGCUUCCCAAGUGGAUUAAUUAACUCUUAGCAGCCCUGUGCUGGGAGGCUCUACAGAAGGGAUUUGAGAUUCCUGAGGCCCAGAAAGAUGACUUUAUUAAGAAAUGGAAGACAUUUGGGGUGACUUCUGUAGCUGGUGGCAGCCACAGUUCUAGGAUCAGAGCCUAGAAGUCAAGACCUCAAGAUGGAAAUAACAGUUCAAAGGCAGUCUCAUCAGAUAGCACUGGGAGGAAGACACAGAUUGGUUCAGCACUGAGCACAGACGAUGUGUCUACCCUGUGUGUCUCCCUGCUCUCAGGAGGUCGUGCUGUAGUGGAGGACAGAUCUCAAUGCAGGAGUCUCCCAGCUGGGUGGGGAUGGGUGUGCUCAGAGCACUGACCCAGACUGGGGCUGGGAUGGGUGGCAUCUGGCUGGAGAGCUGAAGACUGGGAGGAAGUAAAACAGGGCUCGGAGCCAGGAAGUGGAUGCACAGGCCACAGUAGAAGCAGAUCAUUUACUCAGUUGCAGAACACGCAAUGAAGGUUUAGCCUCACUAGCAAUCAAUGAAACAAAAAAUUAAAAGCCUCUUGCAGAGUCAUUUUUCUCCUCUGGAAGAAUACUCAAGGGAUGAGCGGGGUGUAAUGAACUGGUUCUCCCUGUCUUGAGGGUGAAAGUGUGAACCAUCAUGAACCUUCCAAAAAAUAAUUUGGCAUUCUGUGUCAGGCCCAGAUGUAUCUUGCAACUAAUUAUUUUCACUCAUGAGAAUUUAUUCCAAGAAGCAAUCCACCUUCCAAAGGCUUUAUGCCCUGCACUGCUAUUUAUAAGAGUUGUCAGCAGAAGCCAAACCCUUCUCCUGCCAGCACAUAGAAAUAACCUUUAUGCCCCCAGCUAGGUGUACAUGUAUUCCAUAUAAGGGAUAUUAUUAGGCUAUGAAUAUAAAAUGUAUGAAGACAUAAAAAAUGCCAAUGAUACAAAAAUAUUAAAUGUGACAUGCAACAUAAAAACUAUAUUUAU